AUUCUUUCCCUACUCACCCUUAGCUACCAGGGAGCAACAAAAACUGCUUGCCCACUCUCCAGAGAAGUGAUGUGAGAAAGAAGCUACCACUGAACCCUCCCCAGUAUGUGUGCCUACAUGCGCCUUCCCCCAGGAAGAAAUGUGAUUUCCUCUAUACAAGAGGUGCAGGUAUGCUCUCACAGUGGAACAAACUGAGUGUGAACCCGCCUUUUGCCCACAUGGUGAAGGUGGUGGUGCACACCUCUUCUCGUGCUGCCUGGAGUGGACAGCGGAGGAAGAGCCAAGUCAUAAAGAGAAGUGUAGAUCAAGACUGGAAAACAACCAGAGGUCUCAAACUGUCAAAACUGUCAAUGGUUCCAGGAGAUUUUCAUCUUAAAAAUGCCAGAUGGAGGACAAUGAUGCUGAUGACCUCGGGGAGAGCAGAAGUAAGCCAGGAGUCUGCUCUGGAAAAAUCCAGCCUUUGGGUGGCAUUCACCCAGUUGUGGAGGGCCGGCAUAGCUGCCUGUAAGCGAGGCAUGGGAUACGCACCUGGCAGCUGCUCAGAGCAUGGAAGAAAGCAAAGACAGGAAUGAUUAUAUCUGAAAUUCUGCUUCUGGGUAUGAUGGAAUAAAUAUAUGUUUGUCUCCA
ensembl:lncRNA